rnacentral:rRNA from 1 species
UGGGGAAUAUUGGACAAUGGGCGAAAGCCUGAUCCAGCCAUGCCGCGUGAGUGAUGAAGGCCCUAGGGUUGUAAAGCUCUUUCAACGGUGAAGAUAAUGACGGUAACCGUAGAAGAAGCCCCGGCUAACUUCGUGCCAGCAGCCGCGGUAAUACGAAGGGGGCUAGCGUUGUUCGGAAUUACUGGGCGUAAAGCGGACGUAGGUGGAUACUUAAGUUAGGGGUGAAAUCCCAAGGCUCAACCUUGGAACUGCCUUUAAUACUGGGUAUCUCGAGUCCGGAAGAGGUGAGUGGAAUUCCGAGUGUAGAGGUGAAAUUCGUAGAUAUUCGGAGGAACACCAGUGGCGAAGGCGGCUCACUGGUCCGGUACUGACGCUGAGGUGCGAAGCGUGGGGAGCAAACAGGAUUAGAUACCCUGGUAGUCCACGCCGUAAACGAUGGAAGCCAGCUGUCGGCAAGUUUACUUGUCGGUGGCGCAGCUAACGCAUUAAGCUUCCCGCCUGGGGAGUACGGUCGCAAG